AAUAUCAAACAAAGCUCCAAAUUGGACCAAAUAUGUUUACAUAACUUUACGUCAUGACGUACGAUUUUACUAUGCACAAUUAACCAGUGCAUAGCAGAAUAUUGCAGAAAAACUAAUUAUGUAACAAACAACUGUCAACACUAUUUUUACUCUGUGGAUAUUAUGUAAACAAUAUUGUUUUGAGACGAACAAGACUUUCACCGUUUUUAAUACCUUAAAUCAAUGUCCAAAGUUUUUAGGGAAGAGCCAUGAUUAAACGAAAGGCUGUCAUGUUGCUGUGCUUUUGGAUAGAUGUGAUUGAACGGGAAGAAUAGACACACUCCCUCAAAAGCGCAAGUAUCAGAAGCUAAUCCAGCAAUGGCCAGAGAGGGAUUUCUCGGGGCAUUGCUUCAGGAAUAUGGGUGCCAGGGUAAUGUUUCAAAGAGUGGAAUGAUUGACCUCAACACAAGUAAUAAAAUAAAAGAAGCAAAACAGGUCUACAUCUCAAAACCCGAUGACUUCCUGGACUGGCUUUAGUAGAACGAUGAUGCAUAUCAAUUUCAUCCCUGAUCUCUAUGACACCUGUUGAGGAAGUGGAGGGCAAAUCGUAAUCAAUUUGGGUUCCAGCCAAGGACCUCUGUAAACUUUGCUUUUUGGUGAUGCCUUUGUUUCCGAGCUUGAGAAGGACACCCUUGUGUUUAUCAUGGCCUCUCAUAUUGGAAGAUAACAUAAAUGGCUUUUGUGUUGACGGUUGUGCAUAUCUCUUGGUCAGGAAAGUUGUAGGCACCAUUGCCAUUGUAAAUCAUUUGACAGGCCAGAGUGAACAGGGAGAUCUAUGAUUGGUCAGCAAUGUAUCAGAAUCCAUA